UGGCUGUCGUCAGCUCGUGUCGUGAGAUGUUGGGUUAAGUCCGCACGAGCGCAACCCCUGCUGCCAGUUGCCAACGGGUGAAGCCGGGCACUCUGGCGGGACUGCCAUCGACAAGAUGGAGGAAGGUGGGGAUGACGUCAAGUCAUCAUGGCCCUUAUGUCCAGGGCGACACACGUGCUACAAUGGCCGGCACAGCGGGAAGCGAGGCAGUGAUGCCAAGCGGAUCCCUUAAAGCCGGUCUCAGUUCGGAUUGAAGUCUUGCAACUCGACUUCAUGAAGCUGGAAUCGCUAGUAAUCGCAGAUCAGCCAAGCUGCGGUGAAUACGUUCCCGGGCCUU
rnacentral:rRNA from 1 species